CUCCUCUCAGGGUCACACCUCGAGAGUUUCCAUUAUGCUACUAGUCUUGACUAGGGGAGGGCAAGUCAAGCAGAGGCAUAUCCAUUCCAUUUCUAGCUUGGGCAGUGGCUAGCGAGUGGAAGGCAAUCUGCUACAAGU